rnacentral:rRNA from 1 species
UGAGGAAUAUUGGUCAAUGGGCUUACGCCUGAACCAGCCAAGUCGCGUGAGGGAAGACUGCCCUAUGGGUUGUAAACCUCUUUUGUCAGGGUAGCAAUUGGCGCUACGUGUAGCGUUAUCGAGAGUACCUGAAGAAAAAGCAUCGGCUAACUCCGUGCC